UACGCAUCACCAUAGAUGUUAACGUAAAAACUAAUUUGCAUCAAUGAAACACAUAUUAGUAUUGCUUCUUUCAAAUCAUAUGUGCAUUGCAGUGCGGUUGACAUCUUAGCAAAUUACUGCGCUGGAUAAAAGUUAGGUGUUCCUCUCGUCAUUUCAGUCGCGUGCGGAUUUUUAUUGCAAUGGUGAAGCAUACGAAUACUGAUUAAUCCUGCAUAAACCAAAGAUUGGUUUACUUAGAACAGCUUCCUUAAUUAUUGUGAAGUUGUGACGCCUUGUUGCUGUCAGUUAUGCUGCAACAGCGUUUCCACAUGCCACCUAAAGGCAAUGGCGCAUUGAAGAUUUAUCACAAACAUAUCACAUUUAUUAUUAAAUAUCAAUUAAUGAUGGAUCUGUGAUAUAAGUCUUCAAGAGAUGAAAGACAAAAGCGCCGAGACUAUGUAUUGUUAACACAUCCUGGGACUUUCUUUUCAAUUUAAGACAAGUAUGUACUGCAAUACUCAGUGCUGUUUACAUUGACAUCUGAGUAGAAAACGAAGGAUGAAGUAAAUAUUUGGAAAUUUAUUUCCAAAUAUGUGGUGAUUUCCAAGCGUGUGGGCAGUUUAAAUUGCUGCUAGUAAAAUGAGCAGCAAUAAAUGGACCACUGCAAACAAUAAACAGACUGUACAAUAAGCUACAUAAUAAUAUUAAAACAAUAAAAUACAGUUCAAAAUUUAAAACUAUUGUCCAUAAAUUAUUUAUUUCAAAAGUGUUGUUAUAGUAUAUAUGAAUAUCUUGAAACACAAAAAUUUGUUUGGUCCACGUUCUGUACUUUGUAUGUAAACCUGAACAGCUUAAUACAGAAGUGUGUCUCCCUUAUUGUUUUACUUUAGUAAUGGAUUUUUAAAUGUUUAUGGUACUUUUGAAUUUCCAUGUUAUUUGCUUAUAUGUUUCUUUCUAUUAAUAAUGUGAAAUUAUUUAGAAAUAGUGCACAAUUCUGAAUUUUUCAUAAUAUAUCCACCUAUACAUGUUUCUGUU